ensembl:lncRNA
UGGUUAAUGAGGUAAGAACUGCUGUGUGUGGUCAGGAUCCAGAUGGAGGUGGACUCUCUGGAGAGAGAAGAAGAUCUGAUCUCCACCAACGAGAACUUCAUCCUGAAGAGGCUGAAAACUGUAGAGAGACCUGCAGGAGACAUUAUCAAUGACACUCGGGACGGUUUUGUUCCUGACCCGUUUGUGAUGGGUGUUGGCGUUUCCCAGAACUCUCUGCUGGGAGAGCGAGCACUAAUCCGUCCGUCGGUAGAAACAAACCAACGCCGUGGGAGGAAGGAGUUCCAUGACAGAAGGAGCAGUGCUCACGUUUUCAGAUCUCAGGAGACACUGUCUGAUGACCAGAGCAGCAGCUCAGACCUGUCGUCUCAUGAAGUGGAGGAGCUGCUGAGAAGCUUUGCCCGAUGCCAAGCGAACAACAGAUUAAAUCUGAGCAGGAAUGAAGAGAAGAGCAACUUUUACAGAACUAGGAGCCAAACCACUGAGACGUGUCCCAGUAAGAACACACAGGACAUUCCUGGGGGUCCCCACCGCUGGACAGAAAGAUCCAACAGAGAGAAUGAGAAGACCAUAAGGAGGAGGAGAUGUAACCCUGAGCGUUCACCACACCUCUGCUACACACCGGUCCAUCAUACUCCUCUCUGCGUCCACCAGGAGGCGCUCUACAGCAGCAACUCACCCUUCUACCAAUCACAGAACAGAUACAGCCAGGUAACAUCUCCAUACAGAGGCUCCACCCACUAUGACCGAGUGCCAUCCCCCCUGUUAGCAGACGACGUUCCUUUCACCAUUCUCCACUCCAUCGACACCAGUGAGCCCAUCACUGCCGUGUUCAUGGGCUUCCACACCACGCAGGACGACGGCAGGCCUGACCGGGAGGCGGACGGCUCCAUCAGAGCGGAGCUGGUUGUCAUUGGCGACGAACGCGAAGGCUGUCCUUUCACAGACAAAGGAAAAGUUGUAGCAGAGAGUCUGAUGGAGAAGCAGACAGGAGCAGAUCGCAGAAAGAAACACAAGCAGUGCUGCUGUGUGUCCUGAAUCCUCCCCUCAGCAAACUUCUCCUCAUCUCCUCCUCAUGUCCUCCACAGAUUCUAUUAGAGAGGAGUCAAAGCAAUCAGUAUUUAAAACUAAGAGUACCUGCAUCUGGUUUGGCUACAGUGAUAUACAUCCCUUUAGCUUCAUUCAGAGGGUCAAAGUUGAAAAAGUUCUGUUUCCUCCCUCGUUUGUUAUUCCACAUUUUGUAAAAAGUCAGCUCCAAACGGGCGAGUUGGAUUUUUGCCCCAAUAUGACAUUAUAAGGUGGAAACUCCUCCUCCUGACAAUCCUGGCUCCUCCUAACCUAUAUAAGAAUGUGAGCUCUUCCCUCUCAAACUACCUCACAGGUGAAACAAACAUAGUGAAGGCAGGUUGAUAUUACAGUUAAUGAGUUAACAUCUUUUUGUUCAGUAUAUAGAUAAACCGAAGAGCACUCACAAUCAGUUUCACUUUUAGUAGCAGUUACACCGCCUUGUAUCGCCUUAUUGGGAUGAUCUGACAUGUUUGUGACCCAGUGCAACGCAGUGGUUGGACAAAGCAAUGGACUAGUGUCUCAAAUGGAAAAUUGCUGUGGUCAGACGAGGUAAAGAGGAGAAGGAAGACUGUUAAUUAUUUACUGCUGCUGUGAUAAACCUACACAAUGAAGCAGCGUGUGUGUUUAUGUCCACUCCUGCAUAUGCAUGAAUGCCCAAAAAAACCGCCUGUUUUUAGGAGCGCUCUGAAAGUGACUUUUCAGAGGCUAAAAGUCCAGAAAAUAGGCGAGUUUGGGAAAAUAAUUCCCAAAUACUAUGUUGUUGGGGUUCUUAGAACAAAUGGAGAUGGGUGAAAAAGAGCAUAAUAGGACACAUGAUGCAAGAUGCAAGAACACGUCCUAAAUAGUGCGUCCACAAAAUAUUUAACAAUAUUAUGUCCAUCCCCUUCUUGCAUUUUACUGUUGAUGGUGUUAAUAACAUUCAAUGUUAAAACUGGUGAAAUGUGCCCUUUAGGGAUAGAAGGAAAAGAUCAUUUAAAAAAGUCGAGUUACGAUAGGACAAGUUUGGAUGAGAUUAGUUAAAAAAGGAUGAAUCAGGAUAAGUUAAGAAAUUAUCAAACGAUUUAAGAGAAUGUUUUAUAUGUGGUUUUUAAACAUUUCCAUUUCAGUGUGAACUGUUGCCGAGGGUGGGAGUUAAAUGGCGUCUCAACUUACCUUCACAACAUAGCUGCUAGUCACAAAGAGAGCUACGCAAGAUUAAUCACCGUCAUGUAUGACGUAAAAUCCCGUUUUUCAACCUCAAAUAACUUAUUUCAAACAAACUUCACAGAAAAAGUAGCACUUGAACACAAUGUAGGGUGAACUAAUGAUCACAACAGAGUUUAGGUUUGGAAAAAAAUUGUGUGAGUAUUUUAAUUUUACAGUUUGACCCAUAUCCCAUCUUUUAUCAUUGAGAAGGCGGGGAUUAUGGCCUAUACUGCAGCCAGUCAGCAGGAGGAGCUUUAAAAAUAAAAGCUUCACUCUCUGGGGAGCUUGUCCCGUC